AUUGAACGCUGGCGGCAUGCCUUACACGUGCAAGUCGAACGGCAGCGCGGACUUCGGUCUGGCGGCGAGUGGCGAACGGGUGAGUAAUACAUCGGAACGUACCCUGUUGUGGGGGAUAACUAGUCGAAAGAUUAGCUAAUACCGCAUACGACCUGAGGGUGAAAGUGGGGGACCGCAAGGCCUCACGCAGCAGGAGCGGCCGAUGUCUGAUUAGCUAGUUGGUGGGGUAAAGGCCCACCAAGGCGACGAUCAGUAGCUAGUCUGAGAGGACGAUCAGCCACACUGGGACUGAGACACGGCCCAGACUCCUACGGGAGGCAGCAGUGGGGAAUUUUGGACAAUGGGGGCAACCCUGAUCCAGCAAUGCCGCGUGUGUGAAGAAGGCCUUCGGGUUGUAAAGCACUUUUGUCCGGAAAGAAAUCGCGCUGGUUAAUACCUGGCGUGGAUGACGGUACCGGAAGAAUAAGCACCGGCUAACUACGUG
rnacentral:rRNA from 1 species